rnacentral:rRNA from 1 species
GACGAACGCUGGCGGCGUGCUUAACACAUGCAAGUCGAACGGAAAGGCCCUGCUUUUGUGGGGUGCUCGAGUGGCGAACGGGUGAGUAACACGUGAGUAACCUGCCCUUGACUUUGGGAUAACUUCAGGAAACUGGGGCUAAUAUCGGAUAGGAGCUCCUGCUGCAUGGUGGGGGUUGGAAAGUUUCGGCGGUUGGGGAUGGACGCGCGGCUUAUCAGCUUGUUGGUGGGGUAGUGGCUUACCAAGGCUUUGACGGGUAGCCGGCCUGAGAGGGUGACCGGCCACAUUGGGACUGAGAUACGGCCCAGAGGCCUACGGGAGACAGCAGUGGGGAAUAUGGCACAGUGGGCGGAAGCCUGAUGCAGCAACGCCGCGUGCGUGAUGACGGCCUUCGGGUUGUAAACCGCUUUCGCCUGUGACGAAGCGUGAGUGACGGUAAUGUGUAAAGAAGCACCGGCUAACUACGUG